rnacentral:rRNA from 1 species
AUGGCGUCCUCCGCGCCCCCAUCUCUCUCCUCCAGCUCCAAGGUCCAACCAAGCCAGCUGAUCUUCCUAGUCCAAGUGGAGCGCAAUGGCAGUGGCGAGGUCCGUCUCAGACUCUCAGGAGAGGAUGAGUGGAGUGACUUGGCUCCUUUCUAUGCAAAAAGGAAGCAGUCCAAGUCCGUCCAGGAUCUUUCCAAUUUUCCGAGCGAGUGCAGUGCAGUGCGUCUUUACUUUUCUCCGGCAUGGUUCGGGCCUCAGACUGUGCCCGCCCUGUUGCGAGUACGCACAGUUGCACUUGUUUGGUACUGCCGUCCCGUGCCCUGCGCAGAACGUGGACCUGGGUCAGCCGCGAGCUGUGAAAGUGAAAACUCGCAAAAAUAG